rnacentral:lncRNA from 1 species
AUAUAUAAAGGCAACAGUAGUAUACCGCUGUUUAAAACUCAUAAAUCCAUUGACAAAAAACAAAAUCGGGGUAACAAACUAAAACCGAGGGAAACGCAUUAAAUAUAAGAGGAGAACAACGACACAACACUAAAAUGUAACACACACAGAAACGGACCAAGCAUCAGACAAAAUCCCACGAGAAUAACAAAUAUAACAUCAAAACCAAAUACAUGAAUUUGGGAUAGACAAGUACCGUGACACGUCUU